GCUGGCGGCAGGCCUAACACAUGCAAGUCGAGCGAGAAAGUCCUUCGGGGCGAGUACAGCGGCGGACGGGUGAGUAACGCGUAGGAAUCUACCCAGUAGUGGGGGACAACUUGGGGAAACCCAAGCUAAUACCGCAUACGCCCUAAGGGGGAAAGCGGGGGAUCUUCGGACCUCGCGCUAUUGGAUGAGCCUGCGUCGGAUUAGCUAGUUGGUGGGGUAAAAGCCUACCAAGGCGACGAUCCGUAGCUGGUCUGAGAGGAUGAUCAGCCACACUGGAACUGAGACACGGUCCAGACUCCUACGGGAGGCAGCAGUGGGGAAUAUUGCGCAAUGGGGGCAACCCUGACGCAGCCAUGCCGCGUGUGUGAAGAAGGCCCUAGGGUUGUAAAGCACUUUCAAUUGGGAAGAAAAGCUUAACGUUAAUAGCGUUGAGCCCUGACAUUACCUUUAGAAGAAGCACCGGCUAACUCCGUGCCAGCAGCCGCGGUAAUACGGAGGGUGCGAGCGUUAAUCGGAAUUACUGGGCGUAAAGCGCGCGUAGGCGGUUUGUUAAGUCAGCUGUGAAAGCCCUGGGCUCAACCUGGGAACUGCAGUUGAUACUGGCCGUCUAGAGUACGAGAGA
rnacentral:rRNA from 1 species